CUAGUACUCCCUCCGUCCCAAAAUUCUUGUCUUAGAUUUGUCUAGAUACGGAUGUAUCUAACACAAAUUCUUGUCUUAGAUUUGUCUAAAUAUGGAUGUAUCUAGUUACGUUUUAGUGUUAGAUACAUCCGUAUCUAGACAAAUCUAAGACAAGAAUUUUGGGACGGAGGGAGUAGAUG
rfam:Triticum urartu cultivar G1812 contig110370, whole genome shotgun sequence.